rnacentral:rRNA from 1 species
CGGACGGGUGCGUAACACGUGAGGAACAUGACUUUCGGCGGGGGGAGUAGCCGGCCCCAACGGCCGGGUAAUACCGCGUACGACCUAUUGGGGACAUCCCCGAAAGGUGAAAGCAGCAAUGCGCCGAAAGAGUGCCUCGCGGCCUAUCAGCUAGUUGGUGGGGUAACGGGCCUACCAAGGCAACGACGGGUAGCUGGUCUGAGAGGAUGGCCAGCCACAUUGGGACUGAGACACGGCCCAG